rnacentral:lncRNA from 1 species
AAUCGUGGAGGCGCUGGGCUAGUGAAGGAGGCCACGACAGCAGGGGUAUUACGCGGUGCCGGCGGUGGCGGCCGGCGGUUGGGGGUUGGAAAGUUUGCAGCGACGAUUGAGGGGGAGGGGGAGGGCAAGGGGGAGAUGCAGUAAAUUUGAUAGAAAAUUAACUUCCCUAUAGUUUUUUUUUAAGUUUUAUUUUUUUUAUUUAAAAUACACAAUUGUUUUAAAAUUAUGUUGUGUAAUGAUAUAAUACACAACAGUUUUUAAAAAACAAUUGUUUAUAUAUGUUGAAUAAAGACAAUAGAAUUUAAAAUCACUUGUCUAUUAUAUUAAUCCACAAUCAAAUUUAAA